rnacentral:rRNA from 1 species
GACGUAGGGCGCGAGCGUUGUCCGGAUUUAUUGGGCGUAAAGAGCUCGUAGGCGGCUUGUUGCGUCAGCUGUGAAAACCCGCAGCUCAACUGUGGGCUUGCAGCUGAUACGGGCAGGCUUGAGUUCGGUAGGGGAGACUGGAAUUCCUGGUGUAGCGGUGAAAUGCGCAGAUAUCAGGAGGAACACCGGUGGCGAAGGCGGGUCACUGGACCGGUACUGACGCUGAUGCGCGAAAGCGUGGGGAGCAAACGGG